GAUGUAUGAGAGAAUAAUACUCUAUCCUGGUAUGUGGAUUUAGGGAGCAUAUGACUGUCCCGUACAUCACCUUGAUUCAGAAAUGAAGUUGGCUGAUUGGUGAGAGAGGAACUACUGUUUGCAGAACCAUGCUGCGCAGCUAACUUGUUCAUCUGAACGGAAGAAAGGGCAUGCUGAGGUGCAUUUGUCCCAGUAACGGGCAUACCAUACAAGGAAGGUUCAAAUUGUUGCGCCUGGCUGUGCUCAUGGUUAAUCAUGACCGUACUG
rnacentral:lncRNA from 1 species